UUUUUUGGUGAAUAUAAAAUUCUAACUAGAUUUUCAAAAUCCAGGUGUCAAACCAAAAACGAAAA
rnacentral:tRNA from 1 species